UACGGGGGGAGCAAGCGUUGUUCGGAUUUACUGGGCGUAAAGGGCGCGUAGGCGGCGCAACAAGUCACUUGUGAAAUCUCCGGGCUUAACCCGGAGCGGUCAAGUGAUACUGUCGUGCUAGAGUGCGGAAGGGGCAACUGGAAUUCUCGGUGUAGCGGUGAAAUGCGUAGAUAUCGAGAGGAACACCUGCGGCGAAGGCGGGUCUCUGGGCAACAACUGACGCUGGAGGAGCGAAAGCGUGGGGAGCGAACAGG
rnacentral:rRNA from 1 species